AGAGGCUGGUGAGAGGCGUUGGGCCAGUGACAUGCAAGCACACAAUUGCACACACAGCCAUGGGGGUCAGUCGUUGGGAUCUAGGCUGGCAUCUUCCACUCCUGUAGCUGCAGAGGCUUAAACUGGCUACUGAUGUGGCUCUCAUACUCCGUUGGGGGCCAAGGAGAGAAAGGGGGCAGGAGUUAGAUGGCUGGCUUCAACAAACAUGAAUCCCUGUGCGACCAAAGCUGGUAAAUUUGCAGGGGUUCUGUAGCAGCUGUGCUGGCUGUUGAUCACUUCUUCAGUGGCUACAGCUGUUUGGUUUGUAGAGGAGGUCACUGUGAACUGUGAUAGCUCCCACAGUGCCCCUGCUUUUCUUCCUUGCUCCUAACCAGGUCUACGUCUCUCAGCUUUGCUGGUUUGGAUGGUAUGAAACUGAAAUGAGAACUUCAUUUGCUGCCCUGGAAGGCUGGAAAAGCUGGUUGCUCGCCCCACUCUUUCUUCCUUGGUGAGGAGAACUCUUUCCAGCUGGGCAGUUCCCUCUUGUGCUGAGAAAUGCUAGCUUGGGGGAUGGGAUGAGGCAGGCAAAAUGAAGCUGUCUUCUUUCUCUUCUUGUGUGGUUAUUCUCAGGGUUUUUUGUUCUGCUGUGUUGCUGGAAUUUCUUAAGUGGGCCCCAGAGCUUUCCCAGAGCUGUUUUCGUUCGUGGAUAGCUGUCUAAGUGUUGAUCUUUGUGGGGAGACAGAGGCUGGGGUCUCCUACUUUGCCAUUUUGGUGACUUCACCUCAGAAAUGCUUUAGUUGUAUGCACAAUGCUCUUUAACAUGUCUUUGUAAAUUUAUUCCUGGUUUUUAAAUUUUUUUUGAUAAUCAUAAAUUUAAGUUACUAAAAAAAUUUAUUUUUCUUAAUGUUUGUUGCUGGUGUAUAUAAAUAUUUUUUUUCUGUGUUGAUCCUGUAUUCAGUAACUUUGCUAUACUCGCUAAUUCAAUAAUCUAUCUAUAGCUUAUUUGUGUUUCCUAGGUAUACAUCAUAUUAUUUGCAAAUAACAAAAAUUUUAUUUCUUCUUUUCCUACAUUUAUAAAUUUUAUUUUAUUUAUUUUUGCCUCACUGCAUGGCCUAAGACCUGAGUAAAAUGUUUAUUAGAAGUGAUGACAGCAGGCAUUAUUGUCUUAUUUCUAAUCUCAGAGGGAAAGCAUUUGGCAUUUCACUAUUAACCAUCCUUGUGAGCGUGAAGUGGUAUCUCAUUGUGGUUUUGGUUUGCGCUUCCCCAACAAUUGGAUAUAGAAGAUUAGCCCUGAGCAAACAUCUGCUGCCAAUCCUCCUCUUUUUGCUGAGAAAGACUGGCUCUGAGCUAACAUCCGUGCCCAUCUUCCUCUACUUUAUGUGGAAUGCCUGCCACAGCAUGGCUCAACGGGCGGUCUGUAGGUUCACAACCGGGAUUCAAACCAGCGUACCCUGGGCUGCCGAAGCAGAACGUGCAAACUUAACCACUGUGCCACCAGACGAUCCCAACCCUCCUGCUUUUUUUUGGGUUUAAAUUUCAUCUAUUUUUCUAAUUCUUGAAAUGGAUGCUUAGAUAAUUGAUUUUCAGCAUUUUUCCUUUCUUAUAUACAUUUAAAGAUAUGACUAUCCAUUAAAGCAUGGUUUAACUGCAACUUACAAUUUUCAAAGUAUAAUAUUUUAAUAAUUAUUAGUUCACAUAUUUUCUGUUAUGAUAUUUUCUUUAACAUAUACUUGACUUAUAGUGCAUUUCUUAAUUUCUCUUUAUUUCUUAAUAUGUAUUAAUUUCCAAAUAUGUGGUGAUCUUUAGUUAUCUAUCUCUUGUUAAUUUCUCACUUAAUUGCACUGUGGUACUGGACAUAUUAUAUACCAUAUCAAUCUUUUGAAAGUUUUUGAUAUUUCAUAGCAUAGCUUAUAAUCAAUUUUUUGCAAAUGUUUUAUACACAGUUGACAGUAAUAUGUAUUCUAUAGCUAUUGAGUGCAAUCUAGUAUGUCAUAUUUGUUAAUUGCAUUGUUCCAAUCUUGUAUCUUUUAUAUUUUUCAUCUACUUAAUCUAUCAGUUAAUGAGAAAAGUUGUUAAAAUGCUCAGUGUGAUUGUCGAUUUGUCUAUUUCUCCUUAGAGUUCUAUCACUUUUAGCUUUAUAUAUUUUGAGGAUUUGUAAUCAGGUGCAUACACAUUUAAAAUUUUUAUCUUCCUAGGGAAUUAAAUCAUUGUGAAAGUUUCCUCUUAAUCCAGAGUAAUGGUUUCUACAUUUUGUCUACUUUGUCUGAUAUUAAUAUAGUUACAACCACUUUCUUUUGGCUAAUGUUUGUGUUGUGUAUUUAUUUUGCAUCCCUUUAUUAUAAACCUUUUAAUCCUGUUUCAGUUAUCCAUCCAUGAGUAACAAACCACCCCAAACCUUAGUGACUUAAAAACAGCAAUGUGUUCUCUCUCUUGGUUCUGUGGUUGAUUUGGCUCAGCUCAGCAGUUUUCAUUUAGGAGGGGAUCGCUCAUGUAGCUGCAGACUUACGGUAGCAGUUGCUGGAAUCAUGUGAGGGCUUGAUUUGGCUGGAUAGCCAAUCAAUUUUUUCGUGAAUUAUCUCCAGAUACAGACGAGACUUGUUGAGUACAUUACUUGGAUACAGUUCCUUUCAAUCUAUAUUUCUAAAGGCAUGGUAAUUUUAGAAUAUUUGUACUUCUUUCAGGAUGACCAUCUUUCCCCAGAGCACAUUUGCCAAGAAAUUAAGUUGGAUGAUACAAGGCUUAUUUUGACUUACCCUUGAAAGUCACAAAGUACCACUUACAUUAAAUUGUAUUGGUCCAAAGCAAGCCACGAAUCCAUCCCAGAUUCAAGAGGAGGAGAUUACAAAAGAGCAUGAAUAUAAGGAGGUCUCAAACCACCACCAUUGUGUGUGCAAAGCGCCUUAUUCCCAGGAAGCCCAAAGACUGCUCCCGGUCCAGGUCUCUUGUAGUGAGCGGGUCAUAGAGACACACUACAUUUGUGGGAUCAGAUUCAACUGUCAAAGAGGAACCUGCCUGGCUCCACCAAAACCAAGUACAAAUCGUCUCUCCACUGGUUGAACCCAACCAGAAUCUGGAGGAUAAAGGAGCCUGUUGAUGCAGUCCAUACCUGUAGUCUCUCAGCAGAGAGAUUAGGAUGGAGAACAGUAGAGAGUGGAUCAGGAGGGGCACACAGAAGAGAUAUGACAUUCAGAAAUAAUUCCUUGAAUUUUUAUUGGGAACGCACUCAUCCUCUCUUAGCAUUUGUGGAUGUGAGUUGACUUGGCCAAAGGGUAUACUCAAUCCCCUUAGCCACAGGGUUGUGAUCAAGGAUGAGCACCUGCAACAAGAUAGACCAACAUUUAUUCUUAAAACUCCCCUUGAACUC
rnacentral:lncRNA from 1 species